GGACAGGUGUCUGAGCGGUCUAAGGAGCACGCUUGGAAAGCGUGAGUAGGGGUAACUCUACCGUGGGUUCGAAUCCCACCCUGUCCGCCA
rnacentral:tRNA from 1 species